AUCCAAAAUGAAAAAAGGUUCUCAAUCACUAGGGUAAAAAGUGAUCAUGGCAAAGAAUUUGAGAACUCUGAAAUUGCCACCAAAAAUUAUGAUGGGAUCAAGCACGAGUUUUCAUCACCAUGAACACCACAACAGAAUGAGGUUAUUGAAGGAAAGAAUAGAACGUUAUAAGAGAUGAUUAGGGUCAUACUCCAUUCAAAGCGAGUUGUAAAAUAUUUGUGAGAUGAUGUGAUGUUUUGGGUUUCCCAAACCUUAUUUCAAAGAAUAUUUCUUUGGGUUAGGGUUACUUGCAUUUUUAUGCAUAGGUUGGCAUGAAAUUUAGACUUAGUGGUCUGUUUGUUUUCUCUUCUCGAGGAUAUAAGGAAUGUAUUGAACCUUAUUUGUCAUCUUGGCUAUUUCCUAUUUAAGUUUUGUGUACAGAAACAUGGAAUUCAAACUUAGAACUGGAAUAUCAACCCAGGUUGUUCUGUACAUGCAGUGGGUUGGGAGUACACGUGCCAAAAUGAGUAGAUUCAAUAGAGUUCUAGAGCAAUAGCUCCACACGUGCAGUAGAGAGGAAUUUAGUAAGGGUUUAGGCUUUGUAUCUUUCCAAAGGUAUAGCCAAUGGGUUCUACAUGUGCAGCGAUAUGGGAAAAGCAGAAUAUGUGGCCUCUUCUUAGCCUUUCCUUCUCUUUCUGUUCCUUUUCUUUCACAUGCUAGCUCUCUCUCCCUCUUAUUUGUAUCUCUUUUGUCUCUUUACAUCAUUCACUCUUUUUCUAAUUUCUCUAUCUAUAUAUCAAAUAUUUGAUUGAAGAACAAAGGAAUCUUGGGCGUGAUUUUGCAUUUGGUCCAAGAAGGAAGGUUGUAAAACUCGUUGAGGCCAACAAUCUACUGGUGAGCAGCAGGAUGUCCAACCCUAAUGAACCAGUCAACUUUACCCAAUCUUUGAAGUCUAUCAACGAGCACCUCACAAGAGAGGCUUUUGUUUUCUUUUGUGGCCAUGUUUGACCAUAGUUAUACUUAAGUUUUUGGAUAUGUAAAAUGAUGACUUGUAAAUGGUCUUGGACACAUAUUAUCUAUUUGAAUAUGUAUGGAUGUGAGUUAUUAACAUGUAAGAUGUUUUUGUUUACGCCAUGUAUGCACAGCUCAUUGGACAAAAUUUAUUA